UCUGUUUCACACACUGGAACGUAACGCUUCCAGUCAUUCACCAACACAAAGACGCGAGAACUGUCAACAGACUGGAUGAUGAAGAUGACAAACAAAACAAAAGAUAGGUUGUUGGACGAGCAGUAUUUUCUUAAUUCCUCAGGUGAACAAUAUCCGGAGCAAUUUGCGAUUAGGGCGAACAUGCAAAGUGUAAACAAAACGAAAAUAAUGAUUGUAAUAUUUGAAAUAGAAUUUCAAAUCGUAAUUAACAAAUUGAGCGAUAAAUUUGAAUAUUAUCUACCAUACGAACAGAGAGCAAAACUAGCUACUGAAUCAUAUAUAAUACCGAUCAAUUUUUUCGUUUUCCAUUAAAAUAUGCUCAUUUUUAAUAUUCGCCCACCAAUGUUAUUAAGUUUGGUUACGCCUUUUUCAAUGUUAGCCCCACAAGUACUCGAAAAAAAGUAUCGCCCAAUACUUUUCGCCUGUUUUUUGACAUUCUUUAAAUUUCGCCUUCUGCUUUUCGCCAUUGUUUUCAUUUUUAUUCAGUAUCGUCUUUUACUUUACGCCAAGUUUAUGUUUUGAUUUUAAUUAAGCCUUUCACUUUUGAAAUAAUUUCGAUUAUUCUCUUGUGAGUAAUAUUAUAAGUUUCAAAUGUCCCAAUAAUAUUCAUUGCUAUAAAUAGUGGAAAUAUAUUAUGCGGCAGGUUAUGCAAUCAAGAAAAACUUGUUUGGUUGAUUUCUCAACGAUUAGUUUUCACCGAGGAUUUCACAAACAGGACUGUACAAUGGUACUGUGGACAGGCAGACAGGCUGAGGAAUUGUAAAGAACAUCUCGACGAAUUUAUCGCACCGUAUAAGGGUUUUUCUAUUCCUAACCACUCAGCAAUAAAAAAAUGAGUUGAAUUGAUAAGAAUCAUGUGAGGUGAUUGUAGUGCUCAUAGUGAUACGGAAUGAAGUAUUAAUGUAGCUAGAGAACGGGUACAGAGUUACUGCCCAAAGUAAUCUAUAUAAGCAGCAAGAUGUAUAAUUGUAUGUAUACCUAUGUUUUAUACAGUGUCCACAGUUCGAGCUUGUUACGCGUUCUCGAUUACGCCAGUAAUACCAGUGUGUUACGCCAGUGUGUCAUUACACACUGGUGGUAUAAGUACCAUGGUACAAGAAUCUUGAAAUGAGUACCGUACCGAUUAUUGUCUUUAUCAAAGAUAGUCGUGUAAUAAUUUUCUUGUCCUCUUGUACCAUGGUACAAGUACUCCUUAGCAUAAAAUCGACGUGUAUUAUGUUUAUAUUACGAGCCACAUCACAUAACAGGAUAUACCGAUUUAAAACGCCAUACAGUGCCUUCGCGUUUAUGGCAAAAGAUGAUUAUCACCAUUUCGAUUUUAUUGCAAAUUUUUUUCAAUCGCUUUACAUUCCAACUGGAACUUGGCCUGAUAUUCAACUUAGUUUUAUUAGUUAGCUGGUUAUGUUACAUCUAACUGUGACAACACUAUCAUUAUACAAUGUAUUAAUAGAAGUAUUGUUCGAAGUAUGUACAAAAAUGAGAAUAACUACUAGAAAUUUAUUUAUUUAGGUGUUUUAGCGCAGUCUCCUUUGUUAGUUAGUUAGCCUUCUGAGCAAAGGAUAGGCGUAGGAUUGACGGAAAAUGGGAGUUUGAUUCUCGGUCCGGCCUAGGAUGUUUCCGGGUGGGAAACAUUCUCGGCUUCAGUUGGAGUAUAGAGCCAUUAAAGAAGAAGAAGAAGAAGAAGGUGUUUUAGCGCAAUGGUUAGACAAGGGCAUUUCAGAAUUUAUAGAAUAAAAAUAAAAGUAGUUACAUUUCAACAAUUUUAUUUUAUUUCAACAAAAAAGAAACAGAAAACAUGGCAAA